rnacentral:rRNA from 1 species
GGCGAACGGGUGAGUAAUGUAUCGGAACGUACCUUUCAGUGGGGGAUAACGUAGCGAAAGUUACGCUAAUACCGCAUAUUCUGUGAGCAGGAAAGCAGGGGAUCGCAAGACCUUGCGCUGAUUGAGCGGCCGAUAUCAGAUUAGCUAGUUGGUGAGGUAAAGGCUCACCAAGGCGACGAUCUGUAGCGGGUCUGAGAGGAUGAUCCGCACACUGGAACUGAGACACGGUCCAGACUCCUACGGGAGGCAGCAGUGGGGAAUUUUGGACAAUGGGGGCAACCCUGAUCCAGCCAUGCCGCGUGAGUGAAGAAGGCCUUCGGGUUGUAAAGCUCUUUCAGCCGGGAAGAAAUCACAUGGGUUAGUACCCUGUGUGGAUGACGGUACCGGAAUAAGAAGCACCGGCUAACUACGUGCCAGCAGCCGCGGUAAUACGUAGGGUGCGAGCGUUAAUCGGAAUUACUGGGCGUAAAGCGUGCGCAGGCGGUUUGUUAAGAUAGGCGUGAAAUCCCCGGGCUCAACCUGGGAACUGCGUUUAUGACUGGCAGGCUAGAGUAUGGCAGAAAGGGGGGUGGGAAUUCCCACGUGUAGCAGUGAAAUGCGUAGAGAUUUUGGAGGAACACCGAUGGGCGAAGGCAGCCCCCUGGGCCAAUACUGACGCUCAUGCACGAAAGCGUGGGUAGCAAACAGGAUUAGAUACCCUGGUAGUCCACGCCCUAAACGAUGUCAACUAGGUGUUGGGGUGGGUAAAACCAUUUAGUACCGGAGCUAGCGCGUGAAGUUGACCGCCUGGGGAGUACGGCCGCAAGGUUAAAACUCAAAGGAAUUGACGGGGACCCGCACAGCGGCGGAUGGAUGGUGGAUUAAUUCGAUGCAACGCGAAAAACCUUACCUACCCUUGACAUGUCCAGAAGCUCUUAGAAGAUUUGAGUGUGCCCGAAAGGAGCUGGAACACAGUGCUGCAUGGCUGUCGUCAGCUCGUGUCGUGAGAUGUUGGGUUAGUACCCGCCACGAGCGCAACCUUGUUCGUAUGCCAUCAUCAGUGGGCCUUUACGA